GACGAACGCUGGCGGCGUGCUUAACACAUGCAAGUCGAACGGAGACGCCCGGCUUUUGUCGGUUGCUCGAGUGGCGAACGGGUGAGUAACACGUGAGUAACCUGCCCUUGACUUUGGGAUAACUUCAGGAAACCGGGGCUAAUACCGGAUAUGAGCUCCUGCUGCAUGGUGGGGGUUGGAAAGUUUCGGCGGUUGGGGAUGGACUGGCGGCUUAUCAGUUUGUUGGUGGGGUAGUGGCUUACCAAGGGUUUGACGGGUAGCCGGCCUGAGAGGGGGACCGGCCACACUGGGACUGAGAGACGGCCCAGACUCCUACGGGAGGCAGCAGUGGGGAAUAUUGCACAAUGGGCGGAAGCCUGAUGCAGCGACGCCGCGUGCGGGAUGACGGCCUUCGGGUUGUAAACCGCUUUCGCCUGUGACGAAGCGUGAGUGACGGUAAUGGGUAAAGAAGCACCGGCUAACUACGUG
rnacentral:rRNA from 1 species